GACGAACGCUGGCGGCGUGCCUAAUACAUGCAAGUAGAACGCAGUUGCGAACGGGUGAGUAACGCGUAGGUAACUGCCUCAUAGCGGGGGAUAACUAUUGGGAACGAUAGCUAAUACCGCCUACUGUGAGAUGGACCUGCGUUGUAUUAGGUAGUUGGUGAGGUAAAGGCUAACCAAGGCGACGGUACAUAGCCGACCUGAGAGGGUGAUCGGCCACACCGGGACUUAGACAAGGCCCAGACUACUACGGGAGGCAGCAGUAGGGAAUCUUCGGCAAUGGACGGAAGUCUGACCGAGCAACGCCGCGGGAGUGAAGAAGGGUUUCGGAUCGUAAAGCUCUGUUGUGAGAGAAGCGUUAACUAACCAGAAAGGGACGGCUAACUACGUGCCAGCCGCCGCGGUAAUUC
rnacentral:rRNA from 1 species